GACGAACGCUGGCGGCGUGCCUAAUACAUGCAAGUAGAACGCUGAAGGAGGAGCUUGCUUCUCUGGAUGAGUUGCGAACGGGUGAGUAACGCGUAGGUAACCUGCCUGGUAGCGGGGGAUAACUAUUGGAAACGAUAGCUAAUACCGCAUAAGAGUAGAUGUUGCAUGACAUUUGCUUAAAAGGUGCAAUUGCAUCACUACCAGAUGGACCUGCGUUGUAUUAGCUAGUUGGUGGGGUAACGGCUCACCAAGGCGACGAUACAUAGCCGACCUGAGAGGGUGAUCGGCCACACUGGGACUGAGACACGGCCCAGACUCCUACGGGAGGCAGCAGUAGGGAAUCUUCGGCAAUGGACGGAAGUCUGACCGAGCAACGCCGCGUGAGUGAAGAAGGUUUUCGGAUCGUAAAGCUCUGUUGUAAGAGAAGAACGAGUGUGAGAGUGGAAAGUUCACACUGUGACGGUAUCUUACCAGAAAGGGACGGCUAACUACGUGCCAGCAGCCGCGGUAAUACGUAGGUGGCAAGCGUUAUCCGGAUUUAUUGGGCGUAAAGAGAGUGCAGGCGGUUUUCUAAGUCUGAUGUGAAAGCCUUCCGCUUAACCGGAGAAGUGCCUCGGAACUGGAUAACUUGAGUGCAGAAAGAGGGUAGUGGAACUCCAUGUGUAGCGGUGGAAUGCGUAGAAUAUAUGAAAGAACACCAGUGGCGAGAGGGGGCUACCUGGUCUGAACUUGACUCUGAGACUCGAAAACAUGGGUGUCGAACAGG
rnacentral:rRNA from 1 species